rfam:Rattus norvegicus chromosome 10, whole genome shotgun sequence.
GGGAAGGUGGCUUAAUUGGUAAAGUACUUGCCUUGCAAGCAAGAGGACCUGAGUUGGGUCCCCAGAACCCA